GGAGGAUUCAAGCGUUAUCCGGAUUUAUUGGGUGUAAAGGGAGCGUAGACGGCUGAGCAAGUCUGAAGUGAAAGGCGGGGGCCCAACCCCCGGACUGCUUUGGAAACUGUAUAGCUAGAGUGCAGGAGAGGUAAGUGGAAUUCCUAGUGUAGCGGUGAAAUGCGUAGAUAUUAGGAGGAACACCAGUGGCGAAGGCGGCUUACUGGACUGUAACUGACGUUGAGGCUCGAAAGCGUGGGGAGCAAA
rnacentral:rRNA from 1 species